rnacentral:rRNA from 1 species
CAGCCGCCACGGGAAUACGGAGGGUGCAAGCGUUAAUCGGAAUUACUGGGCGUAAAGCGCACGCAGGCGGUCUGUCAAGUCAGAUGUGAAAUCCCCGGGCUUAACCUGGGAACUGCAUUUGAAACUGGCAGGCUAGAGUCUUGUAGAGGGGGGUAGAAUUCCAGGUGUAGCGGUGAAAUGCGUAGAGAUCUGGAGGAAUACCGGUGGCGAAGGCGGCCCCCUGGACAAAGACUGACGCUCAGGUGCGAAAGCGUGGGGAGCAAACAGGAUUAGAUACCCCAGUAGUCCCUGUCUCUUAUAC